rnacentral:piRNA from 2 species
UAAGGAAUGCUUGACUUUCUGGAAAA